UCCUCGCUGGUGCAAUGGUUAGCAUAUGCCUCUUUCAUUGGGUGACCAAUGUUCAGGCAAGACCAGGGUUCAAUUCCCUGGCGGGGAA